CUUAACUGUGCUAUGUGAGUCUGUAUGGUCAAGGGCAUAGGAGUAGUCAUGGAGUCAGAUUACGGGCAAACCUAAGAUCAACUCUUCCUGUGCUGGUGGUUUUCUUUAACAUGAAAUUGUGAGAUAUCAGUCUCUAUUCAAGGUCACCAAGAAUUCUGGCACCCUUCCAAAGAGGCCCCUUGAACCCUAAUAUCAGCAGUUACCAGUUGACAACACCUCCCUAAGGACGGAGGCUCGGUUCUAUCCACAGCUCUCUCUGAUUCCAGGCAAAGACCACUCUGGAGAUGAACAACUCUGAAGCAGCCAAGAUAGGCUAGAUGUUCUGCAUGUAAUCUCUGUCCCCAAUAUCUCUAUUCAUUGGUUGAAGAUACAGUGGCCUGAUAGAGUACCUACCUAGCAUCCAUAGACACAGAAACAAGAAAGAAUUUACAGUAAUGUCUAGACUCCAGGUCUUCUUUUCAUGAAGGUCACUGUUGAGCCAGAUGUGUGUUACCCAGUUGUGAAGGCCGCUGCGGAGCCAGAUGUGUGUUAUCCAGCAGAGGCUUCUUCUCCUUCUAUAAUCCUACUGACAAUUGCUUUGCAUCACAGUUUAUCUUAUUUUGGACAAAAUUCUAUGAAACAUCUCUGAAAAAUUGAGGAAAAAAAAAGAACCAAAAAUCUUGUGAGACAGCAUGUUAGAAGAAACAGAGAAAGAAAAAUCUCACAUAUUUUAAGUAGUCUAAUAUAUCUUUUUAGU